UGGGGAAUAUUGGACAAUGGGCGAAAGCCUGAUCCAGCCAUGCCGCGUGUGUGAAGAAGGUCUUCGGAUUGUAAAGCACUUUAAGUUGGGAGGAAGGGCCAUUACCUAAUACGUGAUGGUUUUGACGUUACCGACAGAAUAAGCACCGGCUAACUCUGUGCCAGCAGCCGCGGUAAUACAGAGGGUGCAAGCGUUAAUCGGAAUUACUGGGCGUAAAGCGCGCGUAGGUGGUUUGUUAAGUUGGAUGUGAAAUCCCCGGGCUCAACCUGGGAACUGCAUUCAAAACUGACUGACUAGAGUAUGGUAGAGGGUGGUGGAAUUUCCUGUGUAGCGGUGAAAUGCGUAGAUAUAGGAAGGAACACCAGUGGCGAAGGCGACCACCUGGACUGAUACUGACACUGAGGUGCGAAAGCGUGGGGAGCGAACAGGAUUAGAUACCCGUGUAGUCCCUGAGCGGGCUGGCAAGGCGCAU
rnacentral:rRNA from 1 species